AAUCAACGCUGGCGGCGUGCCUCAGACAUGCAAGUCGAACGCGAAAGUUCCCUUCGGGGGCGAGUAGAGUGGCGCACGGGUGAGUAACACGUAGGUAAUCUACCUUUGGGUGGGGAAGUAACAGCCGGAACGGACUGCUAAUACCGCAUAAUGCAGCGGCUCGACAUCGAGACAGUUGUUAAAGCGGGGGAUCGCAAGACCUCGCGCCUAAAGAGGAGCCUGCGGCGGAUUAGCUUGUUGGUGAGGUAAUGGCUCACCAAGGCAUCGAUCCGUAG
rnacentral:rRNA from 1 species